GAUGAACGCUGACAGAAUGCUUAACACAUGCAAGUCUACUUGAUUACCUUCGGGUAUGAUGGUGGCGGACGGGUGAGUAACGCGUAAAGAACUUGCCCCUCAGUCUGGGACAACUGUUGGAAACGACAGCUAAUACCGGAUAUUAUGAGACGACCGCAUGAUCGACUCAUGAAAGCUAUAUGCGCUGGGGGAGAGCUUUGCGUUCCAUUAGCUAGUUGGUGAGGUAACGGCUCACCAAGGCGACGAUGGAUAGCCGGCCUGAGAGGGUGAUCGGCCACAAGGGGACUGAGACACGGCCCUUACUCCUACGGGAGGCAGCAGUGGGGAAUAUUGGACAAUGGACCAAAAGUCUGAUCCAGCAAUUCUGUGUGCACGAUGAAGGUCUUCGGAUUGUAAAGUGCUUUCAGUUGGGAAGAAGAAAGUGACGGUACCAACAGAAGAAGCGACGGCUAAAUACGUGCCAGCAGCCGCGGUAAUACGUAUGUCGCAAGCGUUAUCCGGAUUUAUUGGGCGUAAAGCGCGUCUAGGCGGUUUUGUAAGUCUGAUGUGAAAAUGCGGGGCUCAACUCCGUAUUGCGUUGGAAACUGCAGAACUAGAGUACUGGAGANGUGGGCGGAACUACAAGUGUAGAGGUGAAAUUCGUAGAUAUUUGUAGGAAUGCCGAUGGAGAAGUCAGCUCACUGGACANAUACUGACGCUGAAGC
rnacentral:rRNA from 1 species